rnacentral:tRNA from 1 species
ACCGAAAUAGUUCAGUUGGGAGAGCGUUAGACUGAAGAUCUAAAGGUCCCUGGUUCGAUCGCUGGUUUCGGCA